CAGAAACUUAAAUAGAAUUGACGGGGGCCCGCACAAGCGGAGGAUCAUGUUGUUUAAUUCGAUGAUACGCGAAGAACCUUACCAGGUCUUGACAUCCCCCGCGAUGCUUUAGAGAUAAAGCGGAGGUAUUCGGGGAGACAGGUGGUGCAUGGUUGUCGUCAGCUCGUGUCGUGAGAUGUUGGGUUAAGUCCCGCAACGAGCGCAACCCCUAUUGCUAGUUACCAUCAUUAAGUUGGGGACUCUAGCGAGACUGCCAGUGAUAAACUGGAGGAAGGUGGGGAUGACGUCAAAUCAUCAUGCCCCUUAUGAUCUGGGCUACACACGUGCUACAAUGGCCGGUACAACGGGCAGCGAAGGAGCGAUCCGGAGCGAAUCCUAAAAAGCCGGUCCCAGUUCGGAUUGCAGGCUGAAACUCGCCUACAUGAAGUUGGAGUUGCUAGUAAUCGCGAAUCAGAAUGUCGCGGUGAAUGCGUUCCCGGGUCUU
rnacentral:rRNA from 1 species